rnacentral:rRNA from 1 species
AGAUUGAACGCUGGCGGCAGGCCUAACACAUGCAAGUCGAGCGGCAGCACGGGUACUUGUACCUGGUGGCGAGCGGCGGACGGGUGAGUAAUGCCUAGGAAUCUGCCUGAUAGUGGGGGAUAACGUUCGGAAACGGACGCUAAUACCGCAUACGUCCUACGGGAGAAAGUGGGGGAUCUUCGGACCUCACGCUAUCAGAUGAGCCUAGGUCGGAUUAGCUAGUUGGUAGGGUAAAGGCCUACCAAGGCUACGAUCCGUAACUGGUCUGAGAGGAUGAUCAGUCACACUGGAACUGAGACACGGUCCAGACUCCUACGGAAGGCAGCAGUGGGAAUAUUGGACAAUGGGCGAAAGCCUGAUCCAGCCAUGCCGCGUGUGUGAAGAAGAUCUUCGGAUUGUAAAGCAACUUUAAGUUGGAGAAGGCAAUUAACCUAAUACGUUAGUGUUUUGACGUUACGACAGAAUAAGCACGGCUAACUCUGUGCCAGCAGCCGUA